rnacentral:rRNA from 1 species
CGUACACUCCUGCGGGAGGCAGCAGUGGGGAAUAUUGCACAAUGGGCGCAAGCCUGAUGCAGCCAUGCCGCGUGUAUGAAGAAGGCCUUCGGGUUGUAAAGUACUUUCAGCGGGGAGGAAGGCGAUAAGGUUAAUAACCUUGUCGAUUGACGUUACCCGCAGAAGAAGCACCGGCUAACUCCGUGCCAGCAGCCGCGGUAAUACGGAGGGUGCAAGCGUUAAUCGGAAUUACUGGGCGUAAAGCGCACGCAGGCGGUCUGUCAAGUCGGAUGUGAAAUCCCCGGGCUCAACCUGGGAACUGCAUUCGAAACUGGCAGGCUAGAGUCUUGUAGAGGGGGGUAGAAUUCCAGGUGUAGCGGUGAAAUGCGUAGAGAUCUGGAGGAAUACCGGUGGCGAAGGCGGCCCCCUGGACAAAGACUGACGCUCAGGUGCGAAAGCGUGGGGAGCAAACAGGAUUAGAAACCCGGGUAGUCCCA